rnacentral:misc_RNA from 1 species
CAAGCAUUCACUAUUUUUUUGUUCUCCGUCGCACGAUCUCUUCCCUUCACUCUCCCGCACUUCCAUUCUGAUGGCGAACGAACGAAAAGGCCCUUCAGCAGCCUCUUCCCUUCCCAGUGUUCGUCUUUCCCCCUCCCCAACGUACUCUCUCGCACCUCUCCUCCUCCUUUCUCCUCUUUGCCUCUUCCUGUCGCUGGCGACAUCGCCACUGUUUCACUGUGCAGCUCCCCAUCUACCCCCUCCCCCUUCCUUGGGUGAGGCCCCUCUUCUCCCCUUUCCUUUGUGGUGGUUUUCUCUCACACAUUCAUUGGCGGAAAGGAAACGCCUCAGCCUAUCAUAAGCCCAGUCUGUCUGUCUCUCCUCCCCCUUCGUGGCUUCUUAUUCCCUCGCCGCUUGCUUCGUGUGUGUGUGUGUGUGUUGUCUUGUGAUUAUUCUGCCCUCUUCCUAUCACCGCUCUCUCGCUGCUGUGUUAUACACCUUUAGUAGCAUCCCCCUCUGCGCAUCUCGCGCUUUCAAUGUGAGCGUGUGCGCGGCAAGGCCGACAUGCUUUGUCUUUCUUGAAGGGAGGUGUGGGGGAGGGGGGUGUUGUUGCCCUCUUUUCGUUUGUAGUUUCCAAGCCAUGUUCAGCCACGGCGAAGGGAACCAAACGCAGGAAAUGAGGCCGUUCUCGCUGAGUAGGUGUGCGUGCGCGCCUGAUUAUCCUUUUGUUGUUGCUGCUGCACAUUUUCUGUGCAUGAUUCACUGUUGUAUUUUGUUGACACUUGAGUCGUAAUUACUUCACACAUUUUUUUUUGCCCCCCCCCUCCCCUUUGCUUCCCCUCAUUCGCCCUCUAUCGCGUCGCUGUCCGUGCAUGUUACCCUUCUGUGUGUGUGUGUGUGUAUCAUCUCUUUUCUAUCGGUCUUCCCCACCCGAGGUCACGGUAAGAAACCAGCAGGAGAUGCUGGCCACGCUGCUUCAAGUAGCGAUGUUCGUGAGCGCUCCUUACUCAGCGUACCUCGUACUGCUACCCGUCGCUAAACAACGCAGCAGAGCCCCGCUGCGUCGGUGCGUAUAUUUUUUUCUCGUGGUGGCUGCGCUGUUCUCUUAUCAGCUCGUCUUGGUCAUCUGCUUUUGCUCUCAUCUUUUUUUUUUAGUGUUGUUGGUGGCCCGAGCGGUGACUUUCCCGACAGUCGUGACGAAGGGAAAUUCUGGUGAACAAGCAGAGCUGAAACGGCCUUGAAAGGGGCUCAGCAAUGAACAUCCGUUACUACCUGUGCUCACCUUCAGCUCUCUCACACACUCAUUCCGUCCCCUCGGAUAGCCGCAUGGCUUGUUUUCCUUUCCACGUUAAUCUUUGUUGUCUAUGGAGCCGCCUGCCGCGCCCGCAUUCGCCUCGAGUUGCAGGUGAGGGCCUUUCCCUACCACUUCGUGUGUAGAGCUGCCACGCCACAAGCCAGAACAAGUUGCCAAGCGUCCAGAGGUGCUCCGCGGGCAUUCAAGGGUGUGUGCACAGCUGUUCUCCGAUGACCAGGUGAAACCCCCAACACAGUUUUUUUUCUCCCCCCUCCUGGGUGCAUGUUGGGGGAUAUGUGUGUAUGCCUACCCUCUCGAACCCCUCUUUAACUCUUUUCUUCCCCCUUCCUCAUUUCCGCUGAGAAG